rnacentral:rRNA from 1 species
CCCUUAGAUGUUCUGGGCCGCACGCGCGCUACACUGUUCGACGCAGCGAGUCUUAACCUUGACCGAAAGGUUUGGGUAAUCUUCAGCAAAGUCGAACGUGAUGGGGAUCGAUCAUUGCAAUUAUUGACCGUGAACGAGGAAUUCCUAGUAAGUGCAAGUCAUCAGCUUGCGCUGAUUACGUCCCUGCCCUUUGUACACACCGCCCGUCGCUACUACCGAUUGAAUGGUUUAGUGAGAUCUCUGGAUUGACGCUGGCUAGGGGGCGACCCUUGGCCAGACUGUUGAGAAACUGCUCAAACUUGAUCAUUUAGAGGAAGUAAAAGUCGUAACA